ensembl:snRNA U6 U6 spliceosomal RNA
GGGAUCACUUCAGCAGCACAUAUACUAAAAUUGGAACAAUACAGAGAUUAGCAUGGCUCCUGUGCAAGGAUGAUAUGCAGAUUCAUGAAGCAUUCUAUAUUUUU